GCGGCAGCCAAUCAGAAUGCGGAGAGGGCCUGGGAAACUUGUCACUUACCUGUCCUGGGGUCCGUUCUUCGUACCUCGCUAAGUAAGUUAGCUGGAUUUGAUUGUUGACGAUUUCGCGUGAUCUUGGAUCGUUCGGUUCUCCGAAGCUCAUCCGGGACUUGCUGUCAUAGCAACAGAUCCAUAAGCGUACACCUGCUCGGGAGCAGGCUUACUUUACGUAAACAGGAUUAGAUUGCGGCCACUCAGGCUCGGGACCAGCACUCCUGCUGUUGGACAGAAAGACAUCAACUUGAGAUAUGACUGCACUAUGCUGUUGCUGUGACUCCAGUUAAUUCUACAAGACAUGCUGUGACAACAGGAGAGAUGAGUCCUCCGUCACAGAUGGUGUGGUCAGUGAAGAUGGUCGCCUGCAGGUUUAAGCUCAUUGCAUCUCUAACCCACAUCCACUGCCACUGUACUGAAGGGAAGUUAAAGACUUUCUUCUGCACCUACAUUUGGAUCACCUCGAUCCAUGACAGUCAUUCAGGCAGUAAUGCCUGGACUGGAAACAAGCAUCCUUAAAAUAAUACAACAUUCCAGCUCAUGUGUUGAAAUGAAAAACAAAUGUGUUGUUUAAAUUAGAGACUGCACUUGUGACAGAACAAUAAAUAUUUUAUUUUGAUUAUAUAAGUAAUGUGUCAGGGUUUCUGGGUCGUUGACCCAGUGUUUUCAGUUAGUCCUCAUUCUUUAUCUUCUGCCUGUUUCACUUCCUGUUUUAUUGUGUUAACCUUGGUCCAUGUGCAUUAUGUUCAGUCCUCUUCCCAUUUAUCAUUAGUUCAUUAUGUUCAGCUGUGUACUCACCAGUUUCUAAUCGCUCCUCACUCAGCCUGUGUAUUUAUGUUCCUCAGUUCAACCAGUCCAGUGUCGUGUCAUUGAUGUUCUCGUGAUGUUAUGUCGUAUGUUCAGAUCAGUCAGCCAGCCAUUCAGUUCUUCAGUCAGUCGUCCACUCAGUCAGCCAUUUCAGUUCGGGUUCUGUUCAUCCAGCCUGCUUUCAAUAAACCCCAUUAUCCUGCACCGUGAGUCCAGCGUUUGGGUCAUCCUUUCCUCGCCUCCACACACGCUACCCCUGACAGAAUGACACGACCGCUUUUGACCCAGCGGACU
ensembl:lncRNA